rnacentral:rRNA from 1 species
ACGUCUACAUUAGAUACCCCGGUAGUCCCAGCCGUAAACUAUGCGCGUUAGGUGUAUCGGUGACCACGAGUUACCGAGGUGCCGAAGGGAACCGUGAAACGUGCCGCCUGGGAAGUACGGUCGCAAGGCUGAAACUUAAGGAAUUGGCGGGGAGCACAACAACGGGUGGAGCCUGCGGUUUAAUUGGACUCAACGCCGGACAACUCACCGGGGACGACAGCAAUAUGUAGGCCAGGCUGAAGACCUUGCCUGAAUCGCUG